GCCGGGGUAGCUCAGCUUGGUAGAGCGCGGGGCUGUUAACCCCGUGGUCGUGGGUUCAAGUCCCACCCCCGGCG
rnacentral:tRNA from 1 species